rnacentral:rRNA from 1 species
CGAACGUUAGCGGCGCGCCUAACACAUGCAAGUCGCACGAGAAACGGAGCAAUCCGCGGUACAGUGGCGCACGGGUGAGUAACACGUGGAUGACCUUCCCUGGAGUGGUGGAUAACCUGCCGAAAGGCGGGCUAAUACAGCAUGGGACCACGACGCUUUGGCGAUGUGGUGAAAGCGGGCCUCUAUAUAUAAGCUCGCGCUCCGGGACGGGUCCGCGUCCCAUCAGCUAGUUGGUGAGGUAACGGCUCACCAAGGCAACGACGGGUAGCUGGGUCUGAGAGGAUGGCCAGCCACACUGGAACUGAGACACGGUCCAGACUCCUACGGGAGGCAGCAGUGGGGAAUAUUGCGCAAUGGGCGAAAGCCUGACGCAGCCACGCCGCGUGAGCGAUGAAGGCCUUAGGGUUGUAAAGCUCUGUGGGGAGAGACGAAGAAAGCCUGUGAAGAGCAGGCCUUGACGGUAUCUCCUUAGCAAGCACCGGCUAACUCCGUG